GACGAACGCUGGCGGCGUGCUUAACACAUGCAAGUCGAGCGAACCUUCGGGUUAGCGGCGAACGGGUGAGUAACACGUGGGCAACCUGCCCCGAGCUCUGGGAUAACCCCGGGAAACCGGGGCGUAAUACCGGAUAUGACAUCGGAGGACAUCCUCCGAUGUGGAAAGUUUUUCGGUCUCGGGAGUGGGCCCGCCGGCCUAUCAGCUUGUUGGUGAGGUAACGGCCCACCAAGGCGACGACGGGUAGCCGGCCUGAGAGGGCGGACCGGCCACACUGGGACUGAGACACGGCCCAGACUCCUACGGGAGGCAGCAGUGGGGAAUAUUGCGCAAUGGGCGAAAGCCUGACGCAGCGACGCCGCGUGAGGGAUGAAGGCCUUCGGUUG
rnacentral:rRNA from 1 species